rnacentral:rRNA from 1 species
GCUUGUCUCAAAGAUUAAGCCAUGCAUGUCUUAGUGUAAAUAACUCUUAUGAAACUGCGAAUGGCUCAUUAAAUCAGUUAUCGUUUAUUUGAUGGUCCCUUACUACAUGGAUAACCGUAGUAAUUCUAGAGCUAAUACAUGCGAAAAGUCCCAACGCAAGGCGGGAUGUAUUUAUUAGAUACAAAACCAAUGGGGGCAACCUCUUUUUGGUGAUUCAUAGUAACUGUUCGAAUCGCACGCGCAAGCAGGCGAUAGUUCAUUCAAAUUUCUGCCCUAUCAGCUUUUGACGGUAGUGUAGUGGACUACCGUGGCGUUAACGGGUGACGGGGAAUUAGGGUUCGAUUCCGGAGAGGGAGCCUGAGAAACGGCUACCACAUCCAAGGAAGGCAGCAGG